rnacentral:rRNA from 1 species
CGCAAGCCUGAUGCAGCCAUGCCGCGUGUAUGAAGUAAGGCCUUCGGGUUGUAAAGGUACUUUCAGCAGUGAGGAAGGUGGGUAUGUUAAUAGCAUAUUCAUUUGACGUUAGCUGCAGAAGAAGCACCGGCUAACUCCGUGCCAGCAGCCGCGGUAAUACGGAGGGUGCGAGCGUUAAUCGGAAUUACUGGGCGUAAAGCGCAUGCAGGUGGUUUGUUAAGUCAGAUGUGAAAGCCCGGGGCUCAACCUCGGAAUUGCAUUUGAAACUGGCAAACUAGAGUACUGUAGAGGGGGUAGAAUUUCAGGUGUAGCGGUGAAAUGCGUAGAGAUCUGAAGGAAUACCGGUGGCGAAGGCGGCCCCCUGGACAGAUACUGACACUCAGAUGCGAAAGCGUGGGGAGCAAACAGGAUUAGAUACCCUGGUAG